UACGGAGGAUGCGAGCGUUAUCCGGAUUUAUUGGGUUUAAAGGGAGCGUAGACGGGAUGUUAAGUCAGCUGUGAAAGUUUGGGGCUCAACCUUAAAAUUGCAGUUGAAACUGGCGUUCUUGAGUGUCGGAGAGGAAAGUGGAAUUCGUGGUGUAGCGGUGAAAUGCUUAGAUAUCACGAAGAACCCCGAUUGCGAAGGCAGCCUGCUAAGCUGCAACUGACGUUGAGGCUCGAAAGUGUGGGUAUCAAACAGG
rnacentral:rRNA from 1 species